ACUGACCUGUGUACUUACGCGAAAGGAAUUGUGGGUAGCACUUCUUUUACAAGGCAAAAGCGAAAGAAGGUCAGAACCAUUUUGGCGGAAGCAUAAUUCCCCAAACCAGGGGAAUGUGAUGCGUCUAAGAAUAGAGGUGACAAUAACGUAGUGACGUCACCAUCUAUGUAUAGAAUGAUGGCCGAACAGUUGUCAUUCAAGUACGUCGUUGAGGAAUGCUUAUCUGAGGAUCCGAAAGAGGCUGGCUCAGAUGACGAGGAAGCUAACUUGGAUGGUGAUGAAAUGAAUAAGAGAUUUGUAUUGUAUUCUAAAGAUUGAAUAAAUGAAUGCUUCUUUGGAUGUUUUAUGUUAUGUUUAUCUGCAUUUUUAACAAAAAUGUUUGGGCUAGUAAAAUCUGACUCGGGCUUGUUCAAAUUCCCAUAGUACUAGCCCGACUUGCUUGUAGAUUUAAAUCUGAAUUUCAAUGACUGUAA